CAGGCAUGAGAAAUCACAGUGAGAGCAACGCUGAAGGAGAGGUUGAGGGAACACACACCACUCUUCAUCAAAGGAUCAGCAGCUGAAAGUGCGUCCUCGAAACAGAUGAAAAACCCCAAAGAAUGAAUGACAGCAGAAACAACUUAAGAACUCCGUAGCCCCUGCCAUGCCCUCCCAUGCACAAGCUGCAGCAAAUCAGCAUCAACCUUCCCCUCACUUAAUCUGGCAGAAAGCAUCAGCACUCCCACCAUCCACCAUGCAAGAAACAGCAAAAAGAGACAAUGGUCUACAGAAUAUCAGAAACUAACUGUUUGUUCCAAU